CUCCUCUGCUCCUUGCCCAGAUCGGCACCGCCGCCAGCGACGGGAAAGAUGCCGCUGCUAGAUCCUCCACACUCUCUCUCCCCUGACGUGAAUCCCCAUAUUAUCCCCAUGAAUUUCAGCCUCAACUCUCUAAUCCCCCUCUGUGUGUGUGUUCUUUUGGCUUACAGGUCAAACCCUAUUGGGGAUGUGAUUUCCCUACUCCAGAUUGAAGUGGUUGGCGUUGGGCGCCGCCGUGAUGCUGGAUGGUGCAGGUCAGAGCUCCAGUGCGUGUCCGUGGAGCAGAUCCACCAUGGGUGCAGAACCGAAUGGUCCUUGUCCUGAGCUUGCGGUCUUCAACUUCUAAGAUCUUCAAUGGUCGUUCUUCAUACGUCAGGGUCUUUUGGAGAUGGGUGAUGCCCCAGGCAUUAAAACAAUGCUGAACUCUAACUCCCUAUCAGGCGGCAUACCCGGCAGUUCAUCCGGAAAUACAUCAGGAAACUCACAAACUGCAGGUCUGCUGAAAAUUUGGUGUUGUGGAUUAUUAUUGGUUGAUUUCUGCGCAUUGCCUCUACUGUAAUCUUCCCUCCAGGUGAGUUAACUCCUAAAGCCUUUUCCAACGGUGUGCAUGUUAAUCCAUUCUUAUUCACGAAAUCUUGGGAAAUAAAUGAGUGUGUGGCACCGGUAUA